rnacentral:rRNA from 1 species
CCUACGGGAGGCAGCAGUGGGGGAUAUUGCACAAUGGGGGAAACCCUGAUGCAGCGACGCCGCGUGGGCGAAGAAGUAUUUCGGUAUGUAAAGCCCUAUCAGCAGGGAAGAAGAAAUGACGGUACCUGAGUAAGAAGCACCGGCUAAAUACGUGCCAGCAGCCGCGGUAAUACGUAUGGUGCAAGCGUUAUCCGGAUUUACUGGGUGUAAAGGGAGCGCAGGCGGCACGGCAAGCCUGAUGUGAAAGCCCGCGGCCCAACCGCGGGACUGCAUUGGGAACUACCGGGCUGGAGUGCCGGAGAGGUAGGCGGAAUUCCGAGUGUAGCGGUGAAAUGCGUAGAUAUUAGGAGGAACACCAGUGGCGAAGGCGGCUUACUGGACUGUAAAUGACGCUGAGGCUCGAAAGCGUGGGGAGCAAACAGGAUUAGAUACCCGAGUAGUC